UGUCCUGUAGCUCAGUGGCAGAGCGUCCGACUGGUGUGCGGAAGGUCAUAGGUUAGAUUUUUUUUCUGAGUAG